rnacentral:tRNA from 2 species
GGAAGGCAUUCGCAUCCGGUGGUGCGGCCAGGCUUCAAACCUGGUUGGGGACGUCAAUCGUUCCCGGGUCGGUUCGACUCCGGCUGCCUUCCGCCA